GGGGAUUUAGCUCAGUGGUAGAGCGCUUGCCUAGCAAGCGCAAGGCCCUGGGUUCGUUCCCCAGCUCCG
rfam:Rattus norvegicus chromosome 8, whole genome shotgun sequence.